rnacentral:lncRNA from 1 species
AUUGAAGCAAGUGCGACUUCAUCUGCAGUCGGGCUCUGAUCGCCAACCUCGCCUUCUUUUCUAGUUUUGAGUUCUCUGCUCGCACAUCUCACUGGCGCCAUCUUCACGCUUCUGAUCCUCGUUGCCCUCUCAGCCCCGAUUUGCAGUCUUUGGUCACCGAUUCGGUACUAGUCUCUCUCUCUCUCUCCUCAACUGUGUUUAUUGCUUUCAUCUGGUUGGAUGUAGAAGUAGGGGAGAUGAUUUGACAGUGCUAGAUGGAUAUUAUAUGUGAAUACUCUGGGCUUCUAAAUCUGAUUGUACUUUGAGAUGGUGAUUUGAGGAUAUAUAUAUAUAUAUAUAUAUAUGGGUGCUAUUAUUGUGAUGGUGAUUUUCUAUCCAUGCUUUGGCUCCAAUUAUAGAGGAUUUGAUAAUUUCUUUGUUGAUUCGGUCACCUCUCUCACUUGAAUUAUGAAAUUUCUCUAUGGUCUGGGUUGUUGUGCUCCAAUUCGCCAGUUUUCCAGUUUUUCUUUUCAUAUCAAGGUUUGUUUGCCGUCAACCAAAAGAAAAAGGUGAUGAUGCAGUUUAUAUUUUCUUUUUGUGUGUGGACCGGUGAAUGUGGCUUGAUAAUUUGGAUUAUGGAUUGGUUCUCUAGCUCUACUGUGAAGUACAUGUCUGAAUUUGGUGAAGUAGUUUCUGAUUACUCUGAUAUUUGGACGUUGCUGCAUUCAAUUGAAAUUUGCCUCAGACAUUCUGCAAUAUUCUAUUCUAGUAAUAUGUGCUUCAUCUGUCAAUGGUUGCUUUAGUAUCACUCACUGAUAUCUAGAUUGAGCAUCAACAGCUUCCGACUUGUGCUUUGGCUUAUCAAUUUCUCAUGCACCCACCUCAGUGAGCAUUAGAUUCUUCAGCAGAAUUGGUAAUAUCCUCCCAAUUUUUCCACCCUAUCAUUGGAUUUGUGGAAUUGAUUUCUGGUUUAAUUUGCUAUGUCAUCAUCAGUUUGUCAUUUUCCUUUUAUAUCAAAGUUUGUGUCUGCCAUCAACCAAAGAAAAGGUGAUGAAGCAGUUUUAUAUUUUCAUUUUGGUCUGGUGAAUUGGCUUGGCAAGUUGGAGUACAAAUUGGUUGUAUGGCUCUAUGUGCUGGAUGUGUUGAGUUUGGAGGAGGUUUCCAUAUUUGAUGAGGAAUUUGAAAUUUGCUAUGGAAUUUGUUGUGCCUACUGUUUCUAGUGUGGUUACAUUGCUGCUGAUAUGGUGUUUGGAUGAAUCCCCUAGUAGAGAUGAG